AUGUACAAAUAGUGUUGGAUUUAAUUUGGGUUUCAAUUACUAUAUUAUUCCCAAUUUUAUGUGAAAUUACCAAUAUGCCCCUAACCCUAAUUAUUUUGAAAAAGAAAUGAAACCCUAAAACCCUACCCGGUAACCCGUUGCUCCCCCAUGCCCCAGCAGCCAUAACACACACGGUUUUCUUCCUCUCUUUCCAAGAAAAGGGAAGGAGCAGAGGCAGAAAAAUGAAAUUUAGGGAGAAGGAAGGAGGGUUUGCCGGCGUGGAGGGGGAAGGGGGCUCACCGCACCGCUAGUCGUCCUCACCACAAGCUGCGUUCCACAGCCGCCCGUCGCAUCCUCCCUGUGCCGUCCUUCACGCCAUCGCCGCCGUUGCUAGCCGAAGGGAGAAGAAGGAUCUGUCCGCGCCGUCACCAUGCGGUAGCUGAGCUAUGCCAUCGCCGCCAUCUUGCCUCUGCCGGCGAGCACGAAGAGAGAGGGAGAUGGGAGUUUGCACAGCAGAGAGGGAGAGCGCGACAGGGGAGACCAUCGCCGCCUGGAUCGCCGUCGUCGGGCCUCCUUGCCGUCGCCAGUCCUGCUUGUUUUGUCGCCGGGAAACUCGUCGCCGUUGGGGUUGCACCGCCGCUGUUCCUGCUGUGGCUGGUGUCGCACCAGAGAACCAUCAUCGCAGGUUGAGGCUAACCCUUUUUGCUGUCGUUCAUCGUUGCUGCAGCUGACUUGCGGCUGUUGGAUCUGAUCGGAGAGGUGGGUGGUGAUGGCGGUGGAUGUUGGUGCUGGUUAGCGCGUUACUGCUGCUGGCUGUUUUGAGCUGCUCUGCCGUCUCUGCCACCGGAUAAUGUAGCUUAGUCGCCGGAAAAGUUUGCCGAUAAGGAUUUAAUUGGGGUUUCUGUCCUUUUUGAAUUCUGAGAAUACUAUAGUCACUGCGUGUUGGUUUCAGUUGUCGUGAUCGGAAUUUGUCGCCGCUGCCGCUUGAGGUGGCUGCCGCUGAACCGGUUCAGAGACCGCCGCUAUUUCGGAUCAGCCGCUCUUUCUUCGGUUCGAGUUGUUGAGACUGUUGCGAAAGUGGCUUGGAGCUGAGGUUUUGGUUGCCGGUGAUUUCGAGUCGAGGCGGAAAGGAUUCUGUGACGCGUUUGGGCUAUGGUUUUGUGUUUUGAGGAUAUGGGCGCAGAAGUUACGAAGAAUUUAUUUAGUUAUUGUUGUGAUGUUCUGUAUUGUUUUGGAUUAUUAGUUAUUGUACCCUCGCCUUUAUCUUGAUAUAUUCUGUAAGAGGGAUAGGAAUUGUAUUGGUUACUGUUUGUAAUAUCAUUUAUAUAUAUGUAUGUAUAUAUAUAUGGAUGUGCUCUUUAUGAGUUUCUGUAAGUUGUAUGGUAUGUAUGGAUAUUCGUUGUAUAGCAAAAGUAGUUUUGGGAGCGGUAUUGCGGUUUAAAGUUUUAAACAGGCUCAUAUUUUAGUAUCAAAUAGCAUAAGUGUCAUCGUAAUGUCCGAGCUAUCAGAGUUGCGCAGCCGGAAGCGUGAGCUUUGGUAGUUAGGGUGUUACAAAAAUAGUAUAAAAUAUAAUUUUAUUUGUGUUUUAAGUAAAAAAUAUGUGUCUUACCUUUUUGAAGAGACACAAAUUACAUAUAUUUUAUGAAUAUUCAUAUGUAACUGUAUCUCUCUUAAUUUUGUGUCUUAAUAAUCAAACAGCAAACUUUAAAUCCUAAACCUUAAAUAUGUAUAUUCGUGUCCAUGUUUUUAUGUCUUGUGUUCAAAAAGACAAAAACAAAUGUUACCCAGUAUCACGAUACGACAGUGACGAGAUGAACAGUAAAAUGAGGUUGAGUACUUCAAACUUAUAAAAAAUGUGAUGAAUAAAAUUGAAAAAAAAAAUUAAAAAUAUUUUUAAUUUUUUUUAA